CGGUUAAGUUAGAAAGGGCGCACGGUGGAUGCCUUGGCACUAGGAGCCGAUGAAGGACGGGACGAACACCGAUAUGCUUCGGGGAGCUGUAAGCAAGCUUUGAUCCGGAGAUUUCCGAAUGGGGAAACCCACUGCUCGUAAUGGAGCAGUAUCCAUAUCUGAAUUCAUAGGAUAUGAGAAGGCAGACCCGGGGAACUGAAACAUCUAAGUACCCGGAGGAAGAGAAAGCAAAUGCGAUUCCCUGAGUAGCGGCGAGCGAAACGGGAACAGCCCAAACCAAGAGGCUUGCCUCUUGGGGUUGUAGGACACUCUGUACGGAGUUACAAAGGAACGAGGUAGAUGAAGAGGUCUGGAAAGGCCCGCCAUAGGAGGUAACAGCCCUGUAGUCAAAACUUCGUUCUCUCCUGAGUGGAUCCUGAGUACGGCGGAACACGUGAAAUUCCGUCGGAAUCCGGGAGGACCAUCUCCCAAGGCUAAAUACUCCCUAG
rnacentral:rRNA from 1 species